CCAACUUUAAAGGAAAUAGGUUCCUUAUUGUUCUACAAAGAAAUACUUAGUUUUUAAUCCUGCUCACCUGGGACUCCACCACAGUCAUAAAGACAUUUUUGCUUUCUUUCAAUUUUCAGAGCUUCAUUAUGACACAAGUUGGGUUAAGGGAACUUUGCCACUGUAAGUGUUCUAACAAGAGUCCUGGGCAUUUCUCCAUGGUCUAAUGACAAGCUUGCUGACCAUGGCUGGGUUCACGCUGUUUGUUGUCUUGCACUUUGUUCUGUUCCUAGGACAAGGAACUGUGUAAGAAGGCAUCUUUUGAAAGAGGGAGAAACAGCACUGUGAAUAUCAACAAAGAAAAAUAACCUAAAAAAACAAAAAUAUUGUAUUUCGUCUGAACUUUUGGAUCUGUUUAUGAAAAAUGUUUAACAAGAAACAAAAAUGCCCAUAUUCUAUAAAGGAAGAUUUCAAUCAGCAGUUUUCAAAGUAAGAUAAACUCCACAUUUUCCAAAGUCAAGACAAUUUUGAUUACAGUUCUAUCUUAGUUGGAUUUACUGAAGAGGUGGAUAAUUUUAGGAAGUAAUAUAGUGCAAGAGAGAACUAAGACAUCUCCUCUGAUAAUUUAAAUCAGAAGGAACUGGGAAGUAACUCUUCAGUGGCUGUGCCUCGCUGCAUUUUCUCCAGAGACCAUUUCGGGAGAAGACCUCUGUGGAGAAAUCUGGAAACACUGGCAUAUAUUCAAUGAGAUAUCUUUGGAACAAGAGCCAAAUCCAAAUGCAAAACUCGCUUAUAUUUCAUAUAAACCUUACACAUAUAGUCUAAAGAGCUGUGGUGGGAUUGGAAGAAAGUAAGGCACCGAACCAGCUACCCAGGGUGACACUAAGGCAGCAGAAUCUGGCGACAACUGUGAGCUCUAAAGCCCCCAGUGAGGAUUUGAAUUCCAGCCCACACCAGUAGCCGCUUAAUGUUGGGCCGGUGGCUCAAGCUCUCAAAACUCUGACUGUCUCCUAUACUUAUGAUGAUAAGAACUACCUUAUAAAACUAGAUAUAUUUAAUGUGUU
rnacentral:lncRNA from 1 species